UCCUGAGACAUUACCUGGUUAUAACCUGGUUAUAACCUGGUCAUAACCUGAGACAUUACCUGGUUAUAACCUGGUUAUAACCUGGUUAUAUCCUGAGACUUUAC